UUUUUUUAACCAUGAAAGAAAAGGAAUAUUAGGAAAAUUAUUUAAGUGUAUUUGAAUUGUUUGAACUGAUAACAUGGUUGGUAAAGUUAUCAUUGUGUAUUAAUUAAUUUAUUAUCUAAUUUUGUAUUUAUUUAUGAUGCUUGAUAGACAUUAAUUACAAUAUUUAUAUUAUAAUCUGGUACGAGGCAUUAUACAUUACAAAAAAAAACCCAAAAAAACAGCAUAGUUGUUCUUUGAUUACCGUACGACUAUUAUUCUUUCAAAUUAUAGCUGUCUUACCUGAAUAAUGAUGUAGAUCAAAGAUAAUUACAAUCUUUUUCGAUAUUGAUUGAAAAAAACCGUUAUCCGGAAACACAUGGAAACUGAUAGAAGUCAUCCCAAACUCGGAUGAACUAUGAAAAUUUUCCGAAAAUAAGACUAGAUAAUAUAAAUACUUUAAUAUAAUUAGAAUAGCAUUAUUUAUCUAUAUUGAUGUAAUAUUUAUAAUAUUUUGUAAACGACUAACAAUAUGCAGUUUAUCUACCUGAAGAAUCCCUGAACUUCUGGUACUAAUGAAACAGGGACCUUCACUGAGAUAGCUGUGUCAGUGGAGUAAUUGUUAACAGCGAGC
rnacentral:lncRNA from 1 species